GGUGAGGGUGCAGGGGUGAGAGAGCAGGGGUGAGGGUGGGGGUGCAGGGGUGAGAGAGCAGGGGUAAUGGACAGUUGUUGGCCACAUUUUAUCAUCAGUUCAUUCUGGGACCAUGGUGCCAACAGGAAAAGUGGACUAUGCCACAGGGAGGGUGAGGUGCAGGGGUGGGGGAGCAGGGGUGGGGGAGCAGGAGUGAGGGUGUCCCACAAAAUGGCAGGACAAGCGUGAAGUCCACAUUCUGAAGCCCAGCCUUUCUGACUGCUUCCCCUUUUGUGUCUGGAAAAGACAAAAAAAAAAAAAACCUGAGUAAUGUCUCAAUACGUAUGAAUCAAAUGAGAACUGUCAUUGUUUAUGUGUUUGUGCAUGCCCACAUAAAUGUAAUUUGCCUCUUUUUACUAAAAAGGUUACUGGUUUCUUGAAUCAAAAAGUUUGCUCUAGAAAAUAAUGACCGACCGAAUCACAAUUACUGUUCGACAUUUAUCAUGUCCCCAAAAUCUAAACUAAACUUACUUCUAUUUGGGAUUGAUUACAUUAGCUUCACAAAGUAAUUCACCGAUAUGUGAUAUCUGUGCACUUAAAACAAAAAAAUCACCUUUCUUCUCGUUCGCCUCAUCUGACUAGCUGUGAAUUUGUGCUAAAUAGGAUGAGCUGGUUUGUUGAAUGGACGGAAUGAGACGUUCACUUACUGGAGUAUAUUUUAACAUUUCUUUCACAUCUAGCUAGCUCUAUUGGCCUACAAUCGGUUCGACAUCGAUUGUAUUCACAUUUGUAUUAUUUUGCAUUCACACGAUUGCAUUGCAUUCGCACGUGUCAUAUUCAGCUAGCUAGCAUUCACACGAUUGCAUUGCAUCCACACGUGUCAUAUUCAGCUAGCUAGCAUUCACACGAUUGCAUUGCAUCCACACGUGUCAUAUUCAGCUAGCUAGCAUUCACACGAUUGCAUUGCAUC
ensembl:lncRNA